GACGAACCGAGCGAACGUUGUUCGGAAUCCCUGGGCUUAAAGGGCGCGUAGGCGGGUGCUCAAGUCCGGGGUGAAAUCCUCCGGCUCAACCGGAGAACUGCCAUGGAUACUGGGUGUCUCGAGGGUGAUAGGGGUAUGCGGAACUAUCGGUGGAGCGGUGAAAUGCGUUGAUAUCGAUAGGAACUCCGGUGGCGAAGGCGGCAUACUGGAUCAUAUCUGACGCUGAGGCGCGAAAGCCAGGGGAGCAAACGGG
rnacentral:rRNA from 1 species